UCUCCGUUGGUGAACCAGCGGAGGGAUCAUUACCGAGUUUACAACUCCCAAACCCCAUGUGAACGUUACCAAACUGUUGCCUCGGCGGGGUCACGCCCCGGGUGCGUCGCAGCCCCGGAACCAGGCGCCCGCCGGAGGAACCAACCAAACUCUUUCUGUAGUCCCCUCGCGGACGUUAUUUCUUACAGCUCUGAGCAAAAAUUCAAAAUGAAUCAAAACUUUCAACAACGGAUCUCUUGGUUCUG
rnacentral:misc_RNA from 1 species